rnacentral:rRNA from 1 species
GACGAACGCUGGCGGCGUGCCUAAUACAUGCAAGUCGAACGCUUCUUUCCUCCCGAGUGCUUGCACUCAAUUGGAAAGAGGAGUGGCGGACGGGUGAGUAACACGUGGGUAACCUACCCAUCAGAGGGGGAUAACACUUGGAAACAGGUGCUAAUACCGCAUAACAGUUUAUGCCGCAUGGCAUAAGAGUGAAAGGCGCUUUCGGGUGUCGCUGAUGGAUGGACCCGCGGUGCAUUAGCUAGUUGGUGAGGUAACGGCUCACCAAGGCCACGAUGCAUAGCCGACAUAGGAGGGUGAUCGGCCACACGGAGACUGAGACACGGCCCAGACUACUACGGGAGGCAGCAGUAGGGAAUCUUCGGCAAUGGACGAAAAUCUGACCGAGCAACGCCGCGUGAGUGAAGAAGGUGUUCGGAUCGUAAAACUCUGUUGUUAGAGAAGAACAAGGACGUUAGUAACUGAACGUCCCCUGACGGUAUCUAACCAGAAGGCCACGGCUAACUACGUG